GACGAACGCUGGCGGCGUGCUUAACACAUGCAAGUCGAACGGAAAGGCCCCUUUGGGGGUACUCGCGUGGCGAACGGGCGAGUAACACGUGAGUAACCUGCCCUUGCCUUCGGGAUAACUUCCGGCAACUGGGGCUAAUACCGGACAGGUAUCCUUGCUGCCUGGUGGGGGUUGGAAAGCUUUGGCGGUUUUGGAUGGACUCGCGGCUUAUCAGCUUGGUGGUUGGGUAGUGGCUUACCAAGGCUUUGGCGGGUAGGCGGCCUGGGAGGGCGACCGGCCAACUUGGGACUGGGAUUCGGCCCAGGCUCCUACGGGAGGCAGCAGUGGGGAAUUUUGCACAAUGGGCGGGAGGCUUAUGCAGCCACGCCGCGGGCGGGAUGACGGCCUUCGGGUUGGAAACCGGCUUCAGCAGGGGCGAAGCUUGUGGUGACGGUACCUGCUGAAGAAGCACCGGCUAACUACGUG
rnacentral:rRNA from 1 species